UUCUCUCCCCGCCCGUCCGUGCUAAUCUCCCACCCAAGAUAUCUCUCGCCUCCUCUCGCCUCUAAACCCUAACCCCUUUCUUCCUCGGUAUCCAAUUCCAAUCACGCCGCCCGCCUCACCACCCACCACCCUGGAUACUCCAGCCCCUCCCACCUCCUACCGGUCCUCUGACGCUCAGGUGCCCCUGCCCCCCUCCUCCUGGUGACCACAGAGCUCCGCACGGACGAGGGACACGCAUGCCCGCCGGCCUUGAUGGUCGCCCUCUCUCCCGUGGCCAGCCGCGCUACGGCGAGGAGCUGAGGGCAGGCGGAGAGCGAGCGGAGGGUAGGGGAGAGAGAGCCAUGGGCAUGAUAGGCGGCGAAGGGCAAAUGAGCAUGUCACGAUAACGCAAAUCACGUCGGCAAUCACCCAAAAAAAACAUCAUCGCUACCACCACAGCGCACCAUACAAGUCAAUGAUGUUCGCCCUAGCACUAGGCCGUCGUCCUCGACUGCGCCCUCCAUGCUAGCGCGGCAUGGCUAUGUCGCCCCAGCGGUGGUGACCGCCACACCAACGCGACACCCUCCGCAGCGCGUCCCGCCCAACGAUUCACAGCCAUGCGGCUCCGCCAUCCCUAGAUCGGAUCAGAUAUGGCUCGGUUCUUGAGGUGAGCGUCAAGCCUGGUGAUUAUCUUGGUGUUCCCUCGAUUGGGUAGCACGGUUAGUGCAGGGUCUUUGUGCUGGGAUCACAUCCCGUUACCUUCAUGGAAAAAAUGACUUUGGAUCUGAUUGUGUUUGCUGGAGUAGCAGGAUUUUGGUCAUCUCAAAAUUGGAUCCUUUCUUUGUGAUGAAUCUUGAGGAAUGAAUGGUGGUUGCAUCCAGAAAUGCGUAAAGAUUUUAUCAGUCAGCCUGUUCUCCUUUGUCAUAUGUCAGAACAAAAGGCUUCAAAAUAUACCACUGCAUUCACCAGCGGUGAAUCUUUUUCAGAAGCGGGUGCUUAAUGGAAGUUGGGACAAUCACUUAAUACUAAAGUCUUCUGCGUUUUUGUUAUUGGAGCAGAUUUUUUUUUCGAGCUCAUGAGAUAUGACAGCCUCAUGCAUUAUAUGAAGAUAUUCAGUGAAAUCUCCUCCGUAUUGUUAACAGACUGAAAGUUCAAGAAAUGUGAUGUUGCCUAAUUUAUUUCCCUAACUGUUAUGCUACCUGAGAGGAGGUUGGAGAAUUUAUUCGGACAAUCACUUAGUACUAAAACAUGAAGCUUGUUAUGUCCAUAAUUCUAUUAAUGGCUUGUCAUUCUUUAUUGAUCAUCACAGUGGGAUGAAUCAGAUACCAUCUUGAGUCACAGUGUAUAUCCUUUGAAGUUUUACAAUUUUUAGCUUCAGGCCAACAUUUGUCCCACAAACUGAAGCAGGGUAGGAGAGCUGAAGUUGUCACACGGAUCUGGCCCUUGUAUAUUUGUAUUUGUAGAGCUAAUGUGGUUUGCAAAUUGCAAUUGCAAUUUCCUCUUUCGUUAAACCAUCAGAAGCUUUUGAACUUUUAUUUUUGUUCUUUAAAAUGACAUAUAUGUUUAGAUCGUUGUGCAUUUUUAGGUCUGUUGUUGGUAGUUAUGUUAACAAUAUUAUGAUGUACUCUUGUAAUAUACCCUGGACAUUUUACUUUUGAAACUUGAACAUUUCUUAACAUGUUUUUCCUGAAGAAAGAAUUCUUUUGGUCAGUAUGGUUUCUAAAGAUUUAUGUCAUGACUCUAUGCUAAAUUCAUGUUUAUUGCACGUGCUUGAGAAAGAGGCAUCACUUAUCUUCUUUAUCUGAACCCGAGCAAAAAUAGAUAACACAAAUUCUUAUAGUUGUUUGCCUAUUUGUGUGUAGGUUCCGAUGUACAAGCAUAUAGCAGAUCUUGUUGGUAAAAGCGCUACAACGCUUCCCGGCCCUGCAAUUACAGUCAUUAAUGGUGAAACCCAUGCUGGAAAUAGUCUUCCCAUUCAAGCAUUUCCACUUUACAUGUACAACUAUCUUUUGGAGCAAAAGUUUUUGUCAACGGCUAAAAAACUACAUACCCGUAACUUUUUAAGUUAGAGGUUGUUUACUCCCUUGUUUCUUCCAAUUGAUUCUAUUUUUAAUAAGCACAAAUGAAGAUGGUCCGUCCAUGUAUAUCAACACCUCUAGAUGCUUUAAUGUUUUUUUGGACCUUCAAGUAGAGUUUCUUUCUGUAGGAAAUUAUGAUCUUUCAGUUGGUACAAAGAACUUUGAAGAAGGAAUGCAGGUGGGCUCAGAGACAUAUCAUUAUCUGAAGGAUGGAGCUUGGCUGCGGUGCAGCAAUGGCGCCAUGGAGGCAUGAAGGAUGAGUUGGUGCUUGCCUGCCUGAGAUGCCGCUGGUGGUAUUAGCUAUUCCACCCCCACAAAGAGAACAAUAAUCGUCUCAAUGGCCUCCUCUCUUGGGGGAUUCUGAAAUAGAUGCGAAUAUGGUGGUUGGACGAUUCUCGGGAGGGGCACCUGAAGAGCAGCCUGGACGGAAAGGGAAGACAUCUACCCGAACGCUCUCACUCACUCCCUUUAGCCAAGCGUGAUGUAUGGAUGGACAGACGAGGGCUACCGAAAGCACCAUCUCCCUGAGAUCAUGGUACCCGCCACUACUGCCAAACUAAUCGCCUGGAUGGAUGAGUUGUCGGUCGCAUGAAGUACCCAUCAGAAACAACAUCAUGCUGAGUGUUUGGCGAAGAACAUGAGGAGGGGACGCUUCUGUGUGAUAAAUUCCCACGCUUAUUCUCCUUUGCAUUGGAUGAAGAUAUUUACUCUCUGCUGAUGACAUUACAUCCAAGUUCUAUCUCCCUCUCUCAAUAGAAGCAUUCCAGGAGCUGCAGAUAGUUCAGCAAAUAGCACAGGACAACCCUCUUACUCUUGAUGCUCAUGAUCAAAGAAGCUUUGUUUGGGGGGAAAAUAUACUUCAGCAAGGUAUUAUCGUUUUCUGUUUGAAAGAGUGCCUAAGAAUGAGAUAAUGAUUUCCAUCUGGUCCUCUAAAACUCUCCCCAAAAUCAAGGUGUUUCUCUGGCUUCGUAUGCUUGAUAGACUAAACACAAGGGAUAUUAUGAGCCGUAAAAAUUGGACUGUUGAUUCUGGAACAGAUUGCUCUUAAUGUCUUACGGCCAGCCUGGAGACAAGAUCUCACUUAUUUUUUGAGUGUGAAUUUGCUAGAGGCUGUUGGAAUGAAAUCAAUAUUCAGAGGCCGAGCAACAAAUCUAUGGCAGAAGGGUUUGGGGAAGCUAAAAGCAAUUUUCAAGGGCCCUGUUUCGUCGAGGUUUUUGCAUGUGCUGCUUGGAACAUUUGGAAGUCUCGAAAUGAUUUUAUCUUUCAGGCCAUUCCCUUCUCCCUGGGCAUAUGGAAAGUGGGGUUUCAGAGUGACCUAUGGUUGCACCAUUAUAGAGUCAAGCAGACAGUAGUCCAACCUCUCCUUGACUGGCUCCUAGAGAUUUCUAAUUAAUUUUUUUCCUUAUGUCUUUCUUAGGUGCCUUUCAACCACCUUGAUGUAAUCUUUUUUCUUGGGGGGUUUUCUAUGCCCCUUUGUACAGUUUACUUUUUUGUUCAUAUAUAAAAAAAACUAUACUGUAGGGGCUUCCCCUACGGUACAGGUGUCAAAAAAUACUGCUUCUCUUAACAACUUUAUCCGGUCAAGUCUUUUUUAUCAAAUUGUUUCUAUUUCCAUUUCCUAAACUUGUUGUCACAUUGCCCAAGUGGUCUGGAAAGCUACAUUGGGCCUUGUUGUGUCAUUCUAACUGUUAACCUUCAUCUUUCUAAUUGGGUGUGGGAUAACAUAGUGUUGUGAUAUAUAAUUAGUGCUCUAGAUAUGUGUAUCUUUUCUCCAUGGUUAUUAUUGAAAAAUAUGCAUACUAAUGCGGCUAGGAACCUUGAUAGAGGAGCAUACUGUUUACUUGCUUUUAUUUUCCGUAGUCUGAAAUUCUCUAAAGCUUAAUGUCCAUCCAGUUCCUUGGAUAGAAAAGCUCAUUAGCAUAUCCUCUCAUGGCUUCUAGGAAACAUGAUGGUUUCUUGGCCUUAUUUUUGUCUUUUACAUCAUUGCUCCUUAAUACUCCGUACAUAUAUUUUCGUAUCCACAACCAACAUGUUCUUAUGUUUCUUUUA